rnacentral:rRNA from 1 species
GAUGAACGCUAGCUACAGGCUUAACACAUGCAAGUCGAGGGGAGACGACAUCGAAAGCUUGCUUUUGAUGGGCGUCGACCGGCGCACGGGUGAGUAACGCGUAUCCAACCUGCCCACCACUUGGGGAUAACCUUGCGAAAGUAAGACUAAUACCCAAUGAUAUCUCUAGAAGACAUCUGAAAGGGAUUAAAGAUUUAUCGGUGAUGGAUGGGGAUGCGUCUGAUUAGCUUGUUGGCGGGGUAACGGCCCACCAAGGCGACGAUCAGUAGGGGUUCGGAGCGGAAGGGCCCCCACGUUGGGACUGAGACCGGGUCCAAACGUCUACGGGAGGCAGCAGUGAGGAAUAUUGGUCAAUGGGCGAGAGGCUGAACCAGCCAAUUAGCAUGCAGGAUGACGGCCCUAUGGGUUGUAAACUGCUUUUAUAAGGGAAUAAAGUGAGCCUCGUGAGGCUUUUUGCCUGUACCUUAUGAAUAAGGACCGGCUAAUUCCGUGCCAGCCGCCGCCGUAA